UACGUAGGGCGCGAGCGUUGUCCGGAAUUAUUGGGCGUAAAGAGCUCGUAGGCGGCUUGUCGCGUCGGAUGUGAAAGCCCGGGGCUUAACCCCGGGUCGGCAUUCGAUACGGGCAGGCUAGAGUGUGGUAGGGGAGGUCGGAAUUCCUGGUGUAGCGGUGAAAUGCGCAGAUAUCAGGAGGAACACCGGUGGCGAAGGCGGAUCUCUGGGCCAUUACUGACGCUGAGGAGCGAAAGCGUGGGGAGCGAACAGG
rnacentral:rRNA from 1 species